CAAACAUGCAGUCGAACGGCAGCACGGGAGCAAUCCUGGUGGCGAGUGGCGAACGGGUGAGUAAUACAUCGGAACGUGCCCUGUCGUGGGGGAUAACUAGUCGAAAGAUUAGCUAAUACCGCAUACGACCUGAGGGUGAAAGCGGGGGACCGUAAGGCCUCGCGCGAUAGGAGCGGCCGAUGUCUGAUUAGCUAGUUGGUGGGGUAAAGGCCCACCAAGGCGACGAUCAGUAGCUGGUCUGAGAGGACGAUCAGCCACACUGGGACUGAGACACGGCCCAGACUCCUACGGGAGGCAGCAGUGGGGAAUUUUGGACAAUGGGGGCAACCCUGAUCCAGCAAUGCCGCGUGUGUGAAGAAGGCCUUCGGGUUGUAAAGCACUUUUGUCCGGAAAGAAAUCCCCUGCUCUAAUACAGCGGGGGGAUGACGGUACCGGAAGAAUAAGCACCGGCUAACUACGUGCCAGCAGCCGCGGUAAUACGUAGGGUGCGAGCGUUAAUCGGAAUUACUGGGCGUAAAGCGUGCGCAGGCGGUUUUGUAAGACAGGCGUGAAAUCCCCGAGCUCAACUUGGGAAUGGCGCUUGUGACUGCAAGGCUAGAGUAUGUCAGAGGGGGGUAGAAUUCCACGUGUAGCAGUGAAAUGCGU
rnacentral:rRNA from 1 species